GAGUAGAAGAGGGGAAUCCCGAUGAGGAAGGAUAUCCACCUUGAUCGUAUGAAUAUCCAUUGGGCGAAGGAUAUCCACCAGAAGGCUGUCUAUAAGUAGAUGGUUCUAUGUAUGUAGGACUUGGUCUCUGAGUCGAGUAAUCAAGCUGAAUAACCAGGUGUUUGAAUGGAUGUGGAUGGUCGAGAUGUUGAACUGUAUGGUGGAAAAGCGGAAGAACCAACGUUCGAGUAGGAAGGUGUCUCACUAGGACGAGGAUUGUAAGACGAUGGGUAUAUCUCGAGAGGAGUUGAUCCUUCUGGAGAACGUACGUUUACGUGCACCCUGCCGGUAGAUCCCUUGAAUCCACUCUAGGAUAUUUUGCGCCAUCACAUCUGCAGGCGAUACCGGAGCAGCUCGCUGGACUCUCGAAUGCGCUAAUGGAUUUCAAACGAUUGCUUUGAUCAAAUUCGCUAAAUCUUUAUCCUACGUUAUCGCUUUCUCUCCUUCACAAUCGAUCGUAGUCAAGUAGACUCGACGAGUCGACUCGUAUCUCGCUUACCAUCUCCGGAUGGCGAUGUUCUGACGAACAAAGCAUGUCCUCCUCCGUAUUCUUGACCCAGAGCCACGGCCAGAUCAGCUGCGAUCAGGAAUGUUAUGAUCUUCUUCAUCCUCUUUACCUAUUCAGAGAGUUUUAGAAUCAGAUCCAAUUUAAUCUUCUGAAUGAAAAAAUGGUACAAAGAAAAGGAUAAAACUUUAUAUUUUUCUUGGAUGUUUUGAAAUACUAAAUGGGAUAUUUUGAUUAUGGUGGACAGAAUUGGAUGAGAAUCAUAGAUUAUGAUGGAUGAGAAUCAUAAUGGCAUUAUUUAAUAGAUAAGGAGGAUGUUUUAAUAACGUUAAAGAAAUGGAAAUUUUAAGAUUUACAGAGAAAUAGCUUGACAAAUUUCAUUUUAACAAAGUAUCUCAAUGUCGGAGUUCUAUUUCUUUGAAAUUUUUACUAUUACAUUCUCUGUAAAAUAAAGGUAAUCAAUUUUGUGGAAUAACCCAGGAUACUUAAAGAAACACAUUCUUGAAAAACUACUAGAAAAAUUGAAUGUUUUAACAUCAAAAGAAAAUAAAAGAAAUAAACCAAAUUGUAUAUACAAAUCAUAUACAAUACAACAAUUUAAUUUCUUCAGAAAUAUAUUUUAUUAUAAAACAUCAAAGGCACAAUACUUUCAAAGCAAUGAUUAUCAAAUAAAGAAAAUAAAAUAUUAUCAGUUGCUUCUAGUUUUACUAUUAAAAGAUUCUAUGUUUUUUAACAGAUUUUAAUUUUUUUAAUAAUUUUAAUUAAGAAAAAAAACUAAACGUACACAUAUGCAUAUUCCUAAACAGAUUAAGAAUAUGAAAUUUCAAAAAAAAAGAAAAGAAGAAAAAUCGAUACAAUUCGUGACUUGAAAGGGUAAAAAGUAUGAUGUUAAGGACACCGAGAAGAAGGAAGUUGCAACAAAGGGAAACUCGUAGCACUGUUGCUUUCAACGAAGAUAAAAUUACGAAUACUUGGCUAGAUCCUUGGAUGCUUUCCACCAUCGGUAUCGCGAUUUACCGAUGGCUGGUCGACGGUGAAACCGAAUCGUGAUGUGCUCAUGGCGCUGAUAGCGUUCUGACCUAGCGAUUCUUCUCGUAGAAAUAUCCACAUGGCAACGAUCUUCGUCCCUCUGUCGGGCAAAGAGUUCGAGAAGUCAACAGGCGAAUCGUGCUUCAUCGAGGUGAAAGAGAUACAAAUUUUUAUGCAUAAUAAUGAAAUUAUGCAACUUUCGAGAAUCGAUUAUCGAGAAAAUCAUGGAUCAUAUAUUAUUAAAUAUCAUUGGCAACAAAAUAUAUAAAUUGAAGACAAAUUGAGAAAGAACGAUUUUAGAGAUGAUUUUAAAUUUGAUCAUAUAUGAUACAAUUUAUUGAUUUGUUGUAUAAUCACAUAAAACCAUAUCAUACAAGACGAAAUAUUAAAAAGAAAAAAAUGGAAGAGAAAUAUAAUAUAUUUAUAAUAAUCAAAUGCCUGGGAAUGUUCCAGUUUGCAAAUAUGAAUUUAAUGAAUUAGAAAUUAAUGAAGUGCAUUGCACAAAUAAGACUGCGAUUAAAUUAAAAUAGAGCGUGAUUUUCUGGCUGAUUCAUCAUCAUAAUGAUUGAUAUCAGGAUAAAAAGAAAAAAAGAAAAAGAAGAAAAUGAAGAACUCUAGAGAAAGUUUCUGCCGAUAUAUUAAUUGAGAAUUCGAUUAAUGGAUCUCAUUGUCAGAUACAGAUGGGCAGAGUUUAUUUCCUGUGUCUUUCCCGGAAGAAUAUUUCGGAGAUUUAUGAGUGGCUUCCCUGAGACUUCUUUUAUGUCACACUUAUUAUCGGGUUAAUGGGAUAUUUUAUCGGCCUUUCUCUUUUAACGCGUAAACUUAAUUCCUUACGAUCGUGAAAGAUUGAAAAUUGACGAGGACUCAUUUAAUGUUUACGGGCAUAUCCUGACCUCGUGGAAAUUAUAUUGUGGGAAAAAAGUAUUGAUCAUUCAAGAAAAUCUUCAUACGUUUCAAAUUUGUUAAAUUGAUCGUAAAAAAUAG